rnacentral:rRNA from 1 species
GAUGAACGCUGGCGGCGUGCCUAAUACAUGCAAGUCGAACGCUGGAGAUCUAGCUUGCUAGAUCGAAGGAGUGGCGAACGGGUGAGUAAUACAUAAGCAACCUACCCACGAAGACUGGGAUAAUCCCUGGAAACGGGGACUAAUACCGGAUAGGUAAUCGGAAGGCAUCUUCUGGUUAUUAAAGGUUAAAAACACUGGUGGAUGGGCUUAUGGCGCAUUAGUUAGUUGGUGAGGUAACGGCCCACCAAGACGAUGAUGCGUAGCCGGCCUGAGAGGGUGAACGGCCACAUUGGGACUGAGACACGGCCCAGACGCCUACGGGAGGCAGCAGUAGGGAAGUUUCGGCAAUGGGGGCAACCCUGACCGAGCAACGCCGCGUGAGUGAAGACGGCCUUCGGGUUGUAAAGCUCUGUUGUAAGGGAAGAACGGUAGAUAGAGAAUAUCUAAGUGACGGUACCUUACCAGAAAGCCACGGCUAACUACGUG